GACGAACGCUGGCGGCGUGCCUAAUACAUGCAAGUCGAGCGCAGGAAGUCAUCCGAACCCUUCGGGGGGACGUUGACGGAAUGAGCGGCGGACGGGUGAGUAACACGUAAAGAACCUGCCCUCAGGUCUGGGAUAACCACGAGAAAUCGGGGCUAAUACCGGAUGGGUCAUCGGACCGCAUGGUCCGAGGAUGAAAGGCGCUCCGGCGUCGCCUGGGGAUGGCUUUGCGGUGCAUUAGCUAGUUGGUGGGGUAAUGGCCCACCAAGGCGACGAUGCAUAGCCGACCGGAGAGGGUGAUCGGCCACACUGGGACUGAGACACGGCCCAGACUCCUACGGGAGGCAGCAGUAGGGAAUCUUCCACAAUGGACGAAAGUCUGAUGGAGCAACGCCGCGCGAACGAUGAAGGCCCUCGGGUCGUAAAGUUCUGUUGUAAGGGAAGAACAAGUGCCGCAGGCAAUGGCGGCACCUUGACGGUACCUUGCGAGAAAGCCACGGCUAACUACGUG
rnacentral:rRNA from 1 species